rnacentral:rRNA from 1 species
AGCGAACGUUAGCGGCGGGCCUAACACAUGCAAGUCGAACGCGAAAGGUCUUCGGACUGAGUAGAGUGGCGCACGGGUGAGUAACGCGUAGGUAAUCUACCCUUUGGCGGGGGAUAACGUUCCGAAAGGAGCGCUAAUACCGCAUAAGACCACGACCUCUUCGGGGGAUGUGGGAACAGGUGGCCUCUUCUUGAAAGCUACCACCGGAGGAUGAGCCUGCGUCCCAUCAGCUAGUUGGUAGGGUAAUGGCCUACCAAGGCGAAGACGGGUAGCUGGUUUGAGAGAAUGAUCAGCCACACUGGCACUGGAACACGGGCCAGACUCCUACGGGAGGCAGCAGUGAGGAAUAUUGGGCAAUGGGCGAAAGCCUGACCCAGCCACGCCGCGUGAGUGAUGAAGGCCCUCGGGUCGUAAAGCUCUGUGGAGAGGGACGAAAACCCUGGUUUCGAAUAGGCUCCAGGCUUGACGGUACCUCUUUAGCAAGCACCGGCUAACUCUGUGCCAGCAGCCGCGGUAAUACAGAGGGUGCAAACGUUGCUCGGAUUUACUGGGCGUAAAGCGCGUGUAGGCGGGCAUGAAAGUCGGACGUGAAAUCCCUGGGCUCAACCCAGGAACUGCGUUCGAAACUCCAUGUCUAGAGUAGUGGAGAGGAAAAGUAGAAUUCCCGGUGUAGAGGUGAAAUUCGUAGAUAUCGGGAGGAAUACCAGUGGCGAA